GUAAUCAUGUCUUCAGUAGGUGUACAUGCGGAACGAUCAUUA
rnacentral:rRNA from 1 species